AUGGGAAAUCAUGAAUUGAUGACCAGUUGGAUCUUGGAUCUGAGGAAAAAAGUCCAGCGUCAGAGGGAACUCUGGAAGUUUUGCCCGGAGCAAACGGAAGGGUGGCGUUGCCGUCGCCUAAGAUGGGAAAAUGGCAGGUGUCACGGCUGCAGGGGAAGGUCGGAGACCAGUUGAGGGUCCCGGAGCCUUCCAGGAAAGAGUUUCCCAUCCAGCCGGUCUCGGUUUCCGCAUCCGUCUGAAUCCUUAUGAUGUUGAGGGUGCUGGCGUCUGGGUCCUUUAGGAUGCAGAGGAUGCCCCUGUCUUACCCCGCUCCCGCCUCCUCCUGGCAACCUGGUGCGCGGCUCCGGACCUGGCGACCCACGACCUGCUGGUCACUUGCUGCCGCCUCGCAAAGGCGCAUCUCUAGUUCAGUGGUGAGCUGCGGCCGGGUCGCUGCAACUCGCUCCAGGACUCGGGACUCGAGGCCUCGGUGUCCCUCGCGGAGCCCUCGGUGUGUCGCUUGCAGGCUUUUUUUUUGAAGAAAGCAGGAAGGGAAUGGCCUUGUGAGAGACUCCAGGAGCAAAGAGCGACCCUCACAAGACCCAAGUCCUCCCAGAGCUCAGGGAAACUGUCGCUUCUGACGGAAGAAGAGAGAGAAGACAUUCUCCCUUGUGUCCCUGGUGGUCUAGUGGCUAGGAUUCGGCGCUUUCACCGCCGCGGCCCGGGUUCGAUUCCCGGUCAGGGAAUUAUUUUGCACUGCCGCCCUCCGGCAGGAAUCUUCCUUCACUAUGGCUGUCAGCCGGCCUGCUGCAAGGGCCAGAGGCAGAACAGUCUCCGCAGCGAGGGGCAAAGCCGGGCGAAGGAGGGCAAGUCCUGGUGGACCAUCUCUCACGACACAGCGCUCCUAUUUAUCUCCGUGUCCCUCAUCCGCGGAAGCAGCUUUAGAGAGCGACUGAGCGUCUCGCUCAGGUGUAUACAGCCGUGCAGAGAUUGCCAGCCCCCGGGGGAGCUGCACCCAAUAAGCCCACCCUCUUUCCCGUCGCUGCCCCGGAGGCGCCUAUCGCGCUGAGCUGCGAAUAACUAAGAGAGAGGCCAAGCCAAGUCGUGGCGUUUGUGGCAGCCCCGGACACGGGCACCAGCCAGUCAGCGGAGCCUCCUCACCUCCGUUGGCAGCUAACGCGCUCGUUAGGCCUUCGGAAGAGGCGACCGGAGGCGAAGCCCGCGAAUUUGUUAGGGGGGGGACAGACCGUGGUCACGAAGGGGGUUCGCCCAGAGUGAAGCUUCUUCAUCGCACUCUAGAGUUGCUGAUCCCUUUGAUUUCCUCAAUGUGGGAAACGAUGUUUGUGCUAGACGAGGCUGCGCUCUUUACCUGACAUAACGGGGUUCAAAACUGACAUCGCCUCAAGCCCACCCGAAAACGUUUACAUGGCUUCCUCGUCUCUUUUUUUUUUUCUGUCCUAAAGUCGCCUCAUCUUCACAUCCCCUCUUUUUUUUCUUCCACACUCGAGAGUGUCUCUCUCUCUCAUUAAAAGUUCCACCAAAUAUUUGAAGUAUCUCAACCAGAAAGACUGCAAUAAAUACAUUAUUUCAUUCGUGGAAGCUACAGACCAGCUA